rnacentral:rRNA from 1 species
UACGAACCGGACGAACGUUAUUCGGAAUUAUUGGGCUUAAAGGGUGCGUAGGCGGUGCGGUAAGUGAGGUGUGAAAGCCCUCGGCUCAACCGAGGAAUUGCGCUUCAUACUGCCGUGCUAGAGGAAGACAGAGGUAAGCGGAACUGAUGGUGGAGCGGUGAAAUGCGUUGAUAUCAUCAGGAACACCGGUGGCGAAAGCGGCUUACUGGGUCUUUUCUGACGCUGAGGCACGAAAGCUAGGGUAGCGAACGGG